rnacentral:tRNA from 1 species
GCCCCGACGGCCCCCUGAGAUCGGCGCGGUUUCCUAAACCGCGUGUCGGAGGUUCGAGCCCUCCCGGGGCA